rnacentral:lncRNA from 1 species
CCACACGGGGCUGCCACGACUUUGAAGUCCCAAUAGAUCAUUUUAUAGAGCCAUGGGUACCAUUUUUUCCAGCACAGCACCAGGCGCCAGUGCGAGUGCUUGUGGAAUUUAGCAUAUCCUACUCCAGGUAUGAUAAAGAAACCUUGGCACCUUCUGUUUGUUUUUACUAAUUUCCUUUCCAAACUGCCUUUUCAAUACAGAGGAAAGACCUCAGGACUUAAAGUUUGUUAUUUUCUCUCCAAAGUUAGUCCCUGUUCCCCCUGCCUCCCUCCCUCCCCUUCCUUUAAACCAGACUGAACUGCUUCUUCGCUUGGUGGCUGUAUCUUAAAUCACGGCAUGAAAUCGAGCCCUUCGCCGUGCUUGCUGUCUGUGCGUGAGCCACAUCAGCGGCUGGCAGCGCUCCCGAGCCCUGGCAUCCUUCCUCAGCAGCCUUGAGUCCAAUUAGGCUUCACCUCAGUUUUGAGUACAGCUUCCCCCUAUCACUGGGCCUGCUCCUGCCACACUUUCAGGGUUCUCCAUACCCCAUUAAGCCCCAGGAAGCAGAUCUGGGACUUGUGGAGCAAGCUGGGGCUCAGCUCCAGCACUGCUGUGUGGGUACCGCUGCUCUCUUUGCAGAAAGAUCCAAAGGAGAGAGGGAAAACGGAGUGAGAUGCAAACAGAGAGGGGGGAUGGCUGUGGCACCCCAUCCUUCUCCUGCAUGGGAUCCCUGCCAGCCCUGCAAGCACUGGGCUGGUGCCAACUAUCGCGUUCGCCCGUCCCCAUCCUCCUGCAUCCUCCAGCAGCCUCUGUCCAGAGCCAUGCGGCUGUCCUGGGGGGGACCCAUCCCUUGGGAAAACCAGUGGAAACCGGAGUUAGUCCUCGUCUGUUUAACUAGCUCUUCAUUAGGUAUGCUUUCUAUAAACACAGAUUAAAAGAAAACAAACAACAAAAAAUAAAGAUACUGGAAUUACUCUGAGGAAACUGUAU